UUUCUGGACUAACUUCGCCAGUGGAUUCAAUAGGCUUUGAGUUGCUGUAUAUUAAAGGAAUCACUGGUAAUUGGCCUGCCGGCAUAAUGGCUUCAAUGAAGAGAACCAGGGAGAUAAUUAAAAAACUUAUAACCAGCAAGCGGGGUCUUCUGGAGGAGAUCAACGAAAGGCGGGAGUCCAACUGCCUGGUGGAGAGAGGCAAUGAGGUCAGCCUGCUCAGAGUUCAGCGGAGGCAUUUCAAAGAGGCCUAUUCGUCCCAGUCCCCGCAGGAUGGAGUCAGAGAAUCUGUUCCCGACAGCGGCAGGAGCUCCUGGGUGGAGCUGAGCUUCAUCACCCACAAGGAAAGAAAGCACUUCCCACCCAAAAAUAAUGCCAUAUUUGGAUAACCUGCAUCUCCAGAGAUACACAGAAAUGCCACCUCUUUAAUCCUUCAAUGUCUUGUCUGAAUUAUUUGCAAAUAUUAUGAAGCAUAAAAUUAUGUGCUUGGAUCACCAGGAAAACAUUUAAUUAAGUUAUGUCGAUGCAGGGGCCAGGAAUAAGGAAGCCCACAUAGCAAAAAACAAGAUGGCCCUGACACCAGUACCAUUGAUACCAUCAAACCAAAACUGAAGCCAUAAACAGGAGAAAAACAACUUGGCUCCACAAAAAACAACUUUGUUCCGCCUAAACCUGUUUCCCCCCUGCCAACACAGUUUUCCUGCCUAACCUCUCCUCACCCUAUAAAAGGACAUCUCCCCCCAUAAUGGGUGCUACUUCUCCGACCCCCAUGAGAGUUGGCAAAUCUCACCCAGGGUGCAAUAAAG